GACUGUGGCAGUGUAGGUGGAAGCAGCGGUGGAGGAGGAGGAUGAGGUAGCCAACACUGUGUUUUUUUUAUAUAUAUAUAUAUUUUAAUUGGGGUAGCCCCCAAAAUAUUGGGACAUAUAAAAAAAAGACAACUCUGUUCCGCAAAGUAGCUGUUGACAUUAUAGUUGUACAGGCACUUUGUUGACUCUAGAGAACCUUGGGCCAAUCGCACAUCCCCGUGGCGGUGACUUUUCAUGCGGAUGUCAUCCAUAUCAACUUUCGAUGCCAGUUUCUGCGCCUACCAUGGUGACCACGGGUAACGGGGAAUCAGGAUUCCAUUCCGUACAGGGAGCCUGAGAAACAGCUACCACAUGCAAGGAAGGCAGCAGGCGCGCAAAUGACCCACUCCCUACGCAGGAAGGUAG